UUAAGGGCGCACGGUGGAUGCCUUGGCACCAGGAACCGAUGAAGGACGUGGGAGGCCACGAUAGUCCCCGGGGAGCCGUCAACCAGGCUUUGAUCCGGGGGUUUCCGAAUGGGGAAACCCGGCAGUCGUCAUGGGCUGUCACCCGCUGCUGAACACAUAGGCAGUGUGGAGGGAACGCGGGGAAGUGAAACAUCUCAGUACCCGCAGGAAGAGAAAACAACCGUGAUUCCGGGAGUAGUGGCGAGCGAAACCGGAUGAGGCCAAACCGUAUACGUGUGAGACCCGGCAGGGGUUGCGUGUACGGGGUUGUGGGAUCUCUCUUCUACGGUCUGCCGGCCGUAGGGCGAGUCAGAAACCGUUGAUGUAGGCGAAGGACAUGCGAAAGGUCCGGCGUAGAGGGUAAGACCCCCGUAGUCGAAACAUCAGCGGCUCGUUUGAGAGACACCCAAGUAGCACGGGGCCCGAGAAAUCCCGUGUGAAUCUGGCGGGACCACCCGCUAAGCCUAAAUAUUCCCUGGUGACCGAUAGCGGAUAGUACCGUGAGGGAAUGGUGAAAAGUACCGCGGGAGCGGAGUGAAAUAGUACCUGAAACCGUGUGCCUACAAGCCGUGGGAGCGUCGGACAUCAAGCUUGCUUGGUGUCUCGUGACUGCGUGCCUUUUGAAGAAUGAGCCUGCGAGUUUGCGGUGUGUUGCGAGGUUAACCCGGGUGGGGAAGCCGUAGCGAAAGCGAGUCCGAACAGGGCGAUUCAGUAGCACGCUCAAGACCCGAAGCGGAGUGAUCUAGCCAUGGGCAGGUUGAAGCGGAGGUAAGACUUCGUGGAGGACCGAACCCACCAGGGUUGAAAACCUGGGGGAUGACCUGUGGUUAGGGGUGAAAGGCCAAUCAAACUCCGUGAUAGCUGGUUCUCCCCGAAAUGCAUUUAGGUGCAGCGUCGUGUGUUUCUUGCCGGAGGUAGAGCACUGGAUAGGCGAUGGGCCCUACCGGGUUACUGACCUUAGCCAAACUCCGAAUGCCGGUAAGUGAGAGCGCGGCAGUGAGACUGUGGGGGAUAAGCUCCAUGGUCGAGAGGGAAACAGCCCAGAGCAUCGACUAAGGCCCCUAAGCGUACGCUAAGUGGGAAAGGAUGUGGAGUCGCACAGACAACCAGGAGGUUGGCUUAGAAGCAGCCACCCUUGAAAGAGUGCGUAAUAGCUCACUGGUCUAGUGAUUCCGCGCCGACAAUGUAGCGGGGCUCAAGCGUACCGCCGAAGUCGUGUCAUUGCAGCAAUACGGCCAACGCCGGCUGUGAUGGGUAGGGGAGCGUCGUGUGCCGGGUGAAGCAGCCGCGGAAGCGAGUUGUGGACGGUUCACGAGUGAGAAUGCAGGCAUGAGUAGCGAUACAAACGUGAGAAACGUUUGCGCCGAUUGACUAAGGGUUCCUGGGUCAAGCUGAUCUGCCCAGGGUAAGUCGGGACCUAAGGCGAGGCCGACAGGCGUAGUCGAUGGAUAACCGGUUGAUAUUCCGGUACCCGCUGUGAAGCGUCAAACAUCGAGCAUCGUGAUGCUAAGGCCGUGAAGCCGUUCCGGACCCUUCGGGGAAAGGAAAGUGGUGGAGCCGCCGAACCAAGCGGUUAGUAGGUGAGUGAUGGGGUGACGCAGGAAGGUAGUCCAUCCCGGGCGGUGGUUGUCCCGGGGUAAGGGUGUAGGCCGUGCGAUAGGUAAAUCCGUCGCACAUUAGGCUGAGACCUGAUGCCGAGCCGAUUGUGGUGAAGUGGAUGAUCCUAUGCUGUCGAGAAAAGCCUCUAGCGAGUUUCAUGGCGGCCCGUACCCUAAACCGACUCAGGUGGUCAGGUAGAGAAUACCGAGGCGUUCGGGUGAACUAUGGUUAAGGAACUCGGCAAAAUGCCCCCGUAACUUCGGGAGAAGGGGGGCCAUUCCUGGUGAUGAGAUUUUCUCUCUGAGCUGGGGGUGGCCGCAGAGACCAGCGAGAAGCGACUGUUUACUAAAAACACAGGUCCGUGCGAAGCCGUAAGGCGAUGUAUACGGACUGACGCCUGCCCGGUGCUGGAACGUUAAGGGGACCGGUUAGCUCCAUUUCGGUGGGGCGAAGCUGAGAACUUAAGCGCCAGUAAACGGCGGUGGUAACUAUAACCAUCCUAAGGUAGCGAAAUUCCUUGUCGGGUAAGUUCCGACCUGCACGAAUGGCGUAACGACUUCUCGACUGUCUCAACCAUAGGCCCGGUGAAAUUGCACUACGAGUAAAGAUGCUCGUUUCGCGCAGCAGGACGGAAAGACCCCGGGACCUUUACUACAGUUUGAUAUUGGUGUUCGGUUCGGCUUGUGUAGGAUAGCUGGGAGACUGUGAACUCUGGACGCCAGUUCAGGGGGAGUCGUCGUUGAAAUACCAGUCUGGUCGUGCUGGAUGUCUAACCUGGGUCCGUGAUCCGGAUCAGGGACAGUGUCUGAUGGGUAGUUUAACUGGGGCGGUUGCCUCCUAAAGAGUAACGGAGGCGCCCAAAGGUUCCCUCAGCCUGGUUGGCAAUCAGGUGUUGAGUGUAAGUGCACAAGGGAGCUUGACUGUGAGACCGACGGGUCGAGCAGGGACGAAAGUCGGGACUAGUGAUCCGGCGGUGGCUUGUGGAAGCGCCGUCGCUCAACGGAUAAAAGGUACCCCGGGGAUAACAGGCUGAUCUUCCCCAAGAGUCCAUAUCGACGGGAUGGUUUGGCACCUCGAUGUCGGCUCGUCGCAUCCUGGGGCUGGAGUCGGUCCCAAGGGUUGGGCUGUUCGCCCAUUAAAGCGGUACGCGAGCUGGGUUUAGAACGUCGUGAGACAGUUCGGUCCCUAUCCGCUGUGCGCGUAGGAGUCUUGAGAAGGGCUGUCCCUAGUACGAGAGGACCGGGACGGACGAACCUCUGGUGUGCCAGUUGUCCUGCCAAGGGCAUGGCUGGUUGGCUACGUUCGGGAGGGAUAACCGCUGAAAGCAUCUAAGCGGGAAGCCUGCUUCGAGAUGAGGACUCCCACCCCCUUGAGGGGUUAAGGCUCCCAGUAGACGACUGGGUUGAUAGGCCGGAUCUGGAAGCACCGCAAGGUGUGGAGGUGACCGGUACUAAUAGGCCGAGGGCUUGUCCU
rnacentral:rRNA from 1 species